rnacentral:ribozyme from 9 species
GGACAUGAUACCCUGACGUCGGAGGAGUGAUACUGCGGCAAUGCGAAGACUGACUGGGCCAGAAGGGAUGAAUCUACAAGCUCAGCGGGAGCAAGACCAGGGGGGGGAUGAGCUAAUGAG